AUGAAUAGGUCUGAUCAUAUCAUUUUUAUCCAAUAUUCCCAUUUGUUUCCUAUGGCAUUUAAAACCCUUCACAAUAUGGCUUUAACUAAUCUUUGCAUUACUUCCUUUCAUAAAUUUUAUUUUCCAGUGAAACUACUAGAUCAUCCCAGAAUGUCAUUCCAACUCCCAUUUUUGUUCCCUUCCAUAGAGAAAAAUUGGACUGUCCUGAAAGAAUAUUCCCUGGGAACAUACUAAUCUUUCUGUCACAUUCAAGUUGCUCCACUUGCUGACCCAGAGGAUUUCUCUGAUGUAAGCUAUCAAAAUAUAUUACUCCAAUUAUAAAUCUACUUUGUUCCUUAGCAUUGUGCAGAAUACCCCUUAUACAAAUACCUGAAUGCACACUCACAUGUUGAUUUCAUCAUUUUUAUUCACCAAUAUAGUUUUAUGUACGUUUGACUUUUUUUAUAUUAUCAUUUCUUAGAGAACUUGACAUAUAGAUACUCGUAUGUCUCUUAUAAGACUUUUAUUAUAAUGACAUAUGAAAUUAGCACUUAAAUAUUUUUAAUGAUGCUAAAUUUCAAUUGCUUCCUACUUAAAAUGAAGGAAAGGCUGUCAAAUGUCCUAAUUCUGACUAUUGCUUUCCCUUUUCUACACAUUAGAUAAGGUUAAAAAGAACAUGAACAAAUCAUUUUUCCAAGCUCCAAAUGGAGAUGGGAACAAAUAGAAAGACUGUAGGCCGGUGAAGUCAAAAGCUUUGAAAUCAGAGUCAAAGGCUGUGGUUUCAUAUCCUGGGUCUGCCACUUACUCUUUGUAUGAAUAAAUUAAGCAAAUUAUGUUACCUAUCUGGAAUUUAGUUUCUUCUCCAUUAAAAAAUGAGGGGAUUAGAUGAUCUCUAAGGUCUUCCUCAUUUCCUUUUUUUUUUUUUUUUUUUUUAAUUUAAUAGCCUUUUAUUUACAGGAUUUAUACAUGGGUAACUUUACAGCAUUAACAAUUGCCAAACCUCUUGUUCCAAUUUUUCACCUCUUACCCCCA
rnacentral:lncRNA from 1 species